rnacentral:rRNA from 1 species
GAUGAACGCUAGCGGCAGGCUUAACACAUGCAAGUCGAGGGGCAGCACGGGUAGCAAUACUUGGUGGCGACCGGCGCAAGGGUGCGUAACGCGUGAGCAACAUGCCCGUAUCAGGGGGAUAAUCCAGGGAAACUUGGUCUAAUACCCCAUAGCAAUUAUUUAAGGCAUCUUAAAUAAUUUAAAGCUUUGGUGGAUACGGAUUGGCUCGCGUGACAUUAGCUAGAUGGUAAGGUAACGGCUUACCAUGGCUACGAUGUCUAGGGGUUCUGAGAGGAAGAUCCCCCACACUGGAACUGAGACACGGUCCAGACUCCUACGGGAGGCAGCAGUGAGGAAUAUUGGACAAUGGAUGGAAAUCUGAUCCAGCCAUGCCGCGUGCAGGAAGACGGCCCUAUGGGUUGUAAACUGCUUUUGUAUGGGAGCAAUAAGGUCUAUGCGUAGACUGAUGAGAGUACCAUACGAAUAAGCAUCGGCUAACUCCGUG